GGCUGUGGGGGGCAUUUUGGAAUUCAUGGGCUUUCCUUACCAUGUAAAUCUUCUUUAUAUUUUUCAGUUACCUCCCCUGUGUUCCAGGCUGAAUUGUAUCACCCCGAAAUUCAUGUGCUGAAGGACAUCGAAGGUGGACAUACUGGAGAUAACAGCCUUUGAGGGGUAAUUAAGAUAAGAUGGCCUCUUUAGGGUGGGGCCCUAGUCCAGUCUGACAGGUGUCCUUAUGAGAAGAGGAGCUGAGGACCCCGCCACACAGAGGACACAGAAGGAAGACAGCCAUCCCCACGCAAGGACAGAGGCCUCGGGAGAAACACCAGCACCUGGGCCUUCCAGGCUUCAGAACAGUGAGGAGAGAAACCCGUGUGGUCCAAGCUGUGUGGUCCAAGAGCUGCAAGGCGAACAAGGAAGAAUGAAAGACGGAGCUAAAAAGAUCGACAUGCGGAGAGCAGUAGCUGGUUGGAGCACCCACCGUGUACCAGACCUUAGAGGUGACGGGAACAGUGCUGACUUCAGGAACCUCGUGGGGAACAAAUGUCAGGAGCACGGUAACAGCGACAGCGCAGUGUGACAAGGCCCUCACAGGUG
rnacentral:lncRNA from 1 species